ACCUGGGGAGUACGACCGCAAGGUUGAAACUCAAAGGAAUUGACGGGGGCCCGCACAAGCAGUGGAGUAUGUGGUUUAAUUCGACGCAACGCGAAGAACCUUACCAAGUCUUGACAUCCGUUGACCGCUGUAGAAAUACAGUUUUCCUUCGGGACAGCGAGACAGGUGGUGCAUGGUUGUCGUCAGCUCGUGUCGUGAGAUGUUGGGUUAAGUCCCGCAACGAGCGCAACCCUUAUGGUCAGUUACUACGCAAGAGGACUCUGGCCAG
rnacentral:rRNA from 1 species